AGCUCUAGGGUUAGCUCUCUAGAGAGAGAAAAGAGAGAAAGUGAGAGAGAGAGAGGUGUGAAUGGCUGUAAAGGGAGAGGAAGUUGGGUGUAUAAUGUGUUGUAACAAUUACAAUAAGGCCCCUCCACUUUAUUUCCAGUGCACUGCCCAGAUUGGUUAUUUUUCACAGUCAGGGACCGGUCUCUCCGACUUGGGACUGGUCCCCGAGAUCUUCUCUCGUGGACUGCGCAGGUUGCGCGCGAUGCAACCGGUCUCCCUCAAUGGAACCGGUCUCUGGGGACCGAUCUCUCUUCGCAGGGACCGGUUCCCAAGAGCUGGUUUUUCAGGACUUAGCCGAUUUCUCAUCCUCCCUCGCUGCCUACGCAUUCGGGGACCGGUCUCUCCCACCAGGGACCGGUCCCCAAGAGCACAAAACCUGCAUUUUGUAGAUUUUGAUUUCCAAAAGCUCUCGAAGGUCCCCAGUAAUGAAUUUUCGCAUUAUUUGACGCCUUCGGCCUCUCCGAAGUGUACCAACCUCGCACUUUGGUCAAUUUGACCAAGGUUCGAAUUUAAUUACCGAGGUUUCGGUAUGUUACAAUUUCAUUUUUAACUAACUUUGUUCGAGGAGAAAGUAUUCUUUUUGUAGAUUCUUGAAGACUUCAAGACUCCUUGUGUUUAAGUUAUAGAGUUUGUUUAGGAGUUGCAAAAUUGUAAUUUUGUAUUUUCUUUGGAUUUUUCACGCGAGAAGUUCAUUGUUUUGGUGAUGGCAAUGAAUUUUAUUUUUUAUUGGUUGGAGAGUUUAGCGUUGUGAGUAUUUUGAUGUAUUUUUGAAUUUUAUCACGAAAUUGCCAAAGGGGGAGAUUGUUACGGAUUUUAUGUUGGCAUAUUUCGUGAAGUAAGUCGGAGUCUUGAAUGAUUAAAGAAGAAGGGACAAAGAUCGAAGACUCGAAGACUCAAAACAUAGAUCCACAAUGCUCGGUAAGUUUAAAUACUAUUGAUGAUGAUUUAUUAAUAUUUUCAAGUGUUUAGAAGACAUUAGAAUAGGUUUAAAAUAAUAAUAUUUCAAAACAGAGUUUUUCAAGGUUCGGGAUCUGGACCUUGGGAUCAAGGUCCGGAGCCUGAAGGUCCUCUCUGCGUGUAUGCAGCGAGCGUCCGGACCCUAGAGCUAAGGUCCGGACCCCGUAGAUCGGAUUUUCAAACACGCAGCGAGGGUCCGGACUCUCGGGUUAAGGUCCGAACCCCGUAUGUUGUAUUUGUGGUUACGCAGGGAGGGCCCGGACCCUGAAGUCAAGAUCCGGACCUUCAAGGUCCGGACCCUGUGUAAGGUCCGGACCCUGAGACCAUCUUUUGUUUUUAAAGAUCAAUUUUUCAAAUCCUAGUCUAUCUCUAAGUCUUCUAAACCUAUAAAUAAGAUGUAGGGGUGUUUCUAAAAUAUGGAAAUAUAGAACAUCUUUUUAAAAACCCUAGAAACUUGUUGGGUGCUGUCUUUCUUUCUCCAAUAACAAGUUUCUAUUGGAUCAAUUCUUGAAACCCUAAUUUCUUAUUCUUCAUGGAGAAUUGAUCCGGCUAUUGCUUAGAAAUAUCUUUUACGGCUCUUUUAUGAUUAUCUAAGCAAUAAAUCAUCAUCAAUCGUAUUGUUCUUGCUCCGGACAGAGUGCGCUCGUGGAUUCGAGUUGGUGUCGUGGGUUCGGCGUGAUCAAGGCUUCGUGGAUUCGAAGUGUUGGCAUUUCGUGGAUUCGGGACGUGGCGUUCGUGGAUUCGGACGUGGGGCAUGGACAAGCCAUUGGUGUGCGCGAGAUCCGGAGAAGAUAAAAAAGAGGUUUGAGUUCGUGGAUUCGGUAAAUUACCUUGUAAUCUUUUAUUCUUAGUGGAUUGUUAUCGCGUGUUGGUCCUAUGAGUUUUUUACUUCAAGUUGGAGUUUUCCUACGUAAAUCUCGGUGUGAUUUUUAUUUUCUGCAUUUAUUUUUAUCGCAUUGAGAUUUGUGGUUUUUGGCCAUUACACCUAUUCACCCCCCUCUAGGUAUUAGAUACAAUCUAGAUAGAUCCUUGGGCUCCCUCAAUUAUUUCAAUAAGACCUUCCGUUUUCGAAGAUUCUUCCUCCGGAUUCAUGGCCGAUUGUUGCAGUUCGAAUCCGAGCAGUCGGAUCCGAGGCGUGACACUCCCCCUCCAAUAAAAGGUAAGGUCAUUAUUAUCUUAUUGCUCUUUCUGUUAACGGUGUAGCCCUCUAUGCAUAAUUCCGUAAUUAGGUGGGGGCAAAGUAUAGGUUUUGAAAUGACAGGAGAAAAAAGUAAAGAAAAUGAUUUUGACAUAGGGUUUUAUGUAAUUUAGCCUUUUUAAAUGUGCAUAUAUAUUAUGGAAUCUAACGUUUGGAGCAUGUUAAACAUGUCAUCACUAGAUGAAUAAGAAAUACGGAAUUGGGAUUUUGCUUAGGACAAAAUCUACACUUGAAUAUGUUAAUUGCCAAUAUUAGGAAUUACCUUUUGUAGCUAUUUUUACUACUUUUUCACCGUUGUUAGUGAGUCAUGAAUACACAGAUUAGUGUAGGUUGGAUUUGCGCUUGUUUUGAAGUGCUGAGUGGAUUUUUAUAGUAGAGUUUAGACUAUUUUGUAUAGUCAGAUGCCGUCCGGACUGAUGGUAGUCCCAGAUCUUGGAUUUUUAUAUUAGAUUGUGUUGAGAGCUCGUGAGCUUUAGUUUUCAAAUUUGUUUGAUCAUUUGCAUUGGCUAUUGUCACGCCCCGGGGCCAAUUUUAAAAGUCUUUUUAUAAUGAAUACAAUUUAGAAACCAGAGUUGCGAAAAAUGUGCCAUUUUUUUUUUAUUCAACCUGGCUCACGUGACGUACAGACCCGCCAUAAAUACAAAGUUCCUCUGUCUACUCGGACAGAUUCUCCUUUAUAUUUGCACGGCGUACUAACAACAACAUCAGGAUCACAACAACAAUCUACAUUUACAAAUCCACAAACAGUUCAUGCGAUACAUUUUCAUACAGCUAGCGAUCCUUAGAAAUGAUGCAUGUCUCUAAACACUCCUUAGGUGUAGGAUGACGCGAUGCACAGUACAACAGUCAUCCUAUUUAAAAGUGCUCCCCAUCCGGAAGUUUUAUUUUUAAACGCUAUUUAAUCAUUCAUUAAAAUCAUUAGAAAACCUUUUUAAAACUAUUUUCACUCGGAAACUCCAUUUUGAAAACCGACUACCUCGAGGGGUAGAAAACCAUAAAGUAUAUAUAACUACAUAAUUCCAAAAUCGAAGAUCCAUAAACUCUAAUUGCAAACAUCAUAGUAAAUCAUCAACUCAAACCAACUCACAAAUAUCCAAACAUUCAUAGUGAUCAUCUAACUGAACCAUUUAAUUAUUAAAUUACUAAAUGCAGAAAUAAAACAUAACCAGGGUGACGGUCGCUACUGCAGUUUAGAUAGUACGUCCUCCCGUCGCGCCAAAUGCCAACUCCUUGCCCGAACCACCUGGGGAAAUAGGUGGUGAGAAACCACAAUCAAUGUUUCCCAGUAGGUACGACAGAGCCACGAAGGCAAGUCGUAAUCAUCGGAAACCAAAGGAGGUAAAGUAAACAAAGUACUGAUGCUGAGAUACGAAAGAGAACUACAGUAGCUAUAACAGAUAUGAUUAGAAGCAAGUAAUAAAAACUGCUACUGUAAGGAAUUAAAUGCUGAGCAUGCCUCAAGGUAACCAAACCAAAACUGUACCUAAUCUGGUGCCUGCCAUAUUGGUCCGCAGACCUCAAGCGUUGCCUGUCACAUUGCUUGCACCGACCUGAUUCACCCGUCCAAUGAACGACCUAUCCGGAUAAGCACACUUCCGGUCGAUGGCCAAACCGACCUGGUAUCAAUGAAUACACCCAAGUGUUGUGACUGAAUCAUGCUGAUAUGCUCAAUGCGAAAAUCGGCAAGAAGCCGAUGCCUUGGCUGAAGCCAGCUACAAGGGCGUACAACGCCGAACCAUGAUCAACUAGAUUGAAACACAUGAUAAAGGAGUCGAUGUGUUGCCUAGAUCCAAGGUCCACAGAUAUACAACAUAUGCGAGCCUGCUCUACAUAUCUAUCCACAACUAUCAUCAUGCAAUCAACAAGAUAUAGAUGAACAAACAAUAAACAAAACAACUGACAUGUAGAGACUACAAUGCUGAUAUAGAAGAACAGAGGAAAGUGAAACGGUCUCACCGACUACCAGCUCGAAGCACCCACAUGUACUAAUGUCGCGCCUGUCUCCAAACUGUACACGAUCGUCAACAGGACCUACGAAGGUCCACCGGGUCAGUAACCAACCCACAAACCCAAAAUACAUGACUCACGAACCCCACACAAGUCCCCAAGAUCGGUUUCCCUAAAUUGAUCAUCGUAACUCGCCGAAAGUCCCGAAAAUCACCCCGGGACACCGUUGAGACCCACUAAGUGUCUCGAAACUCACCGACUCAUGCCACGAGUCACCCGCUGCCACAAAACACAUCGAUUUGGAUCUCUUGGCAGAAAACACAAGAUUACACAACCAAACAAUUAUCCCCGGAUAAUUGUUCGGAUCCUGGUUCCCGGAAGUGUCAAUUUCGAUACCGGAACCCACCGUCGCUCACCCGUCAUCUCCGAACCCAUGAUAUGAUGAUGGUGACUAGCCGACACGGCUCAGCGACAACUCUCAGCGCAAACAAAUGACGUCGGAAGAAAUCCGAAUCGAAACCGCGUUCUGUCGGCGAAUUUCGCCGAAAAAUGCACCGAAAUCGACGAUCGAUUUCCGCGAAGGUUAUCGGACCUUGGACAAUCAGUCCAGAGGUCUCCACAUACACAUACAUUCUGCCCACAGUAGCCACAAGAUGCACAAAUGCAUAAAAGUCCCUAUAUUUACAUAAAAUCUAUUAUUUUAUGUAAGUAAAGCGAUUUUGUGGCUCAUUCACGCAAACCAAGGACUUCCGAGGUCUGCCGAGACACGUACUGACAGGUCUCGACAUGCCGGAGGCCGUGCUCAUGAUCUAGAGCACAACGGCUCUCUGUGGGAGGCGCAGGAGCGACCUGAAUAUUCAGCGAACAGCGCGCACUCGGGGUAAACCGCGCCGAACAAGCCGAUCCGGAGUUCAAUGAUCCAAAGUGAGGUGAGCAUCGUGAUCAGCACUGAUCAGCGAUCACUGUGCUCACCUCCGGAGGCAUCGGGACAGCCUUGGAUCGCCAGAAAAGCAUGCGUAAACCAAAACAACAACCAUAAGAUAGCACUUCGAAGGCUUACCGGCAGUGGGAGCUAGGGCACGACCGACGGCGACUCUGCGGCUAGCGCGCCGACGGCAGACCGGUGUGGCCGACGUGGGGAUGCCAGGGAUCACGCCGGUUGGCAAUAGGAGGCGGCGGCGGCGGAGGAAGCCAAGCCCGCACAAGCCAGGCUCAGGGUGCACGCCGGCCUCGGCGGCGGCCGGGGUGCCUCGGGGCGGUGGCCAGGGUCGCCGGGGCUCCGGGGGAGGCGGCAGGAGAGGCCUCAGGCGGUGACGGCGCGCGGGCCAGCAGCUGAAGCUCAGCUCGGUCCGAUCCAGCCUAGGGUGCCCGCAUGGCUAAAGUAGCGCGGUGGCGGCGCUAGGGGCAGUUCGGGGCGGCGGCAACCGACUGCCUGAGGUUGGAAGGAUGCCGUGGAGGUGGUCUAAGGCGGCGGCGGCGCGGGGGAGAAGCCGCAAGCUUACCUCGGCCUGGGCUUGCCCUAGCUGGCAGUAGGGUGGCUGCAGUGUGGCGGCCGCGCUCGGCGACAGCGGCAGGCGGCGGGCGAGGUCGCCGGGGCUCGGGGCGAUGCCGGCGGAGAGCGAGGAGGCAAUAUAGCCUCGAGCUUCCUCUCAACUCGAUAAAGAGAGAGAGAGAGAGAGAGAGAGAGAGAGAGAGAGAGAGAGAUGGAGAAGGAGGAAAGGUGGCUGCGGCUUCGGCUGCCGGCAGGGGUUCGGUCGGCGGCGGGCGGGAGGCGCGCAGUGCACGAGGUGAGGGGAAGAGAGGUGGCUGGGGGGUCACCUGGGGCUAGUUAGGGUUUGCAUGGUGCAAAACCCUAAGUGACUAUAUAUACACAUAAGGUAAAAAAAUGCACCAAAGUCCCCCAAAACUCAAUAUUUAGAACUGAGUCCCUCACAGUGCGUGUAAAACGCGCAAAUACACCCCCACAUUCGAUUUCACGCAAAACAGUACAUAAAAUGCCGAGGUUUUUGCAAAAUUACCAUUUUGCCAUUAAUGAACUCUCCUCAAUCAACGUGCAAUAUUAGGAGAUCUGUUUGUCAGAUUUGUGAACGGAUCGCACAAGUACGAUCAGCACGACAGAGACAACAAACUCACAAUUUUGUUUUGCCUUGUUUGGUCACGGAUUCGUGACAAAACUCAUCUUCUCUUCGAAAGGCAAAACUACACACAAAUACAUAAAAUACAUGUAUUUCCAACUUUCUCGAAAUCCGUGCAUCAAACCUGAAAUCCGUCAGCGCCAUUGGUUCCAGAAUAGUCGAACCAUCAAAAACAAGCUAUUGGAUCGCUAUGAACGGAGUCCGAUACGCGCCAGAAGCCAACUCUACUUAUUGGCCUCUCUGGAAAACCGAGUUACUAUUCACUUUAAGUGAAAACUGAAGAUCGCGUAAAAUCUCCGUUCUAACUCAUUUUCUCCCGAAACUUGACAAGUACUUUUGUAAUUAAAUUACACACAAAAAUAUCGUCAACAGAGAGUUUAGUUACACUCCAAACUUUUCGGUCCUUACAGCUAUAGCCCGCAUAAGCUAGAUUUGAGCUAAAUAGAGACUGCGGUUUCUAUACUUGGUGGGGUCGCGCCUGUUGAGUGUCGCUUCAGAGUUUGGCUUCUUUGCGUUGGCGUCGCAGCAACCCUUUUGCGCAUCCUACUUAGUUCGGCCACCUCCGAGGGUGGUGCACAGUAGUAGGUUGGCAUAGACUGGAUUGGUCUUGUGGCGAUCUCUUUGGAUUGGAUUAGUUGCUGUCAAUUUGAUAGUUGGUUGAUACAUACAACACAAUGAGAGUGUGAUUUGAACAUUAGUAGUGUAGUGACAUAUUAGUUAUAGAUUUCUUUACAGCUUUACUACUUUUGCUCCCUUACUUACCUGUUCUACCUUUCAUUUGUAGACUUAGUGGAUAAGCCAUUGGCAUCAGUGACGGUACCUACUGAGAACUAUUUUGUUUUAUAGUAGUUCUCACACCCGUUAUUGCCCCUUUUCUUACGGAGCCCUCUGUUCCUGUUGCUGGCAUUGAUUGAGGUAAGGGAGUCGUGAGAUAGAUCUCUGUCUACCUCGAUUGUCGAGCUAAAGGUAGUCCUUUAUGGUGAUAGUAUUUGUAUUUAUAGUAAUGUACGUACAGAUGUAUUUACUUUACUGUUUAGAGUUGUGUGAGGUGGUGAUAUACUCAUGGAUUAUACUUUGUACACCUGGGAUUCUUAAAUAUGUACAGGAGACCAUAUUUCUGUUUUAGGAGCUCUUAUCUGCUCUGUUACUUGCUUAUAGUUGUUUGUAUGUUAAAGGGGCAAUUACUUAUAUACUCCUAAAAAGUUCUCGACUUUUUGAUUUACCCCUUUUAGAAGGCUAAUAUUAAAAAUAUCCUUUUUACGUUCCAACCUAUUUCAAAUAUACCCCUAGAGUUUUUUUUUUUUUGAGAGAUAGGUAGCACGCUACCCGCUUCGUUUACUUCAUUUAGAAAUAAACUUAGCUGGAAAUGUGAAUCAACUAGGAUUCGAACUUGGGCCUCGGGUACCAACGACCAAGCCCUUUGCCACUUGCUUUAGGGACGGUCGGUAUAUAUCCCUAGAGUUAAUCUCUGUUAAUGAACUGUUAGUAUCUAUAUGAAAUUACUAUUUUGUCUUUUCAAAUAUAUCCUUCUACCAUCAUCGACUUUUCUUAUUUGCCAUUAAGUUAGGGGGACAAAAAAUAUUUUAAUUUUUUAUCUUUUCAAAUAUACCCUUCUACUAUCACCAAUAUUUCUUAUUUGCCCUUAAGUUAAGGAUAAAAAAGGUAUUUUAAUUUUGUUUUAACUCUAGCAGAUAUUUAACUCACGUUUAACUCAAGUUAACUUAACGGUUGAUAACUGCAGGGAUAUUUUGGAAUAAUAAAGGAACAUAUGAGGGGUAUAUUGGAAAAAAAAGCAAAAAUAAAGGUAAAUGUGAUAUUUCUGAAGUUUUGAGAGGUAUAUAGGCAAUUAUCCCUUUGUUAAAUGUAUAAAUUAGUUCAACUUAUGUUGUAUGCUCUUGAUAUCCAACUUGUAGAAUGUGUAUAUCAUAACUUGGUGGAUUAUGUUGAUUGAUAUAAGUAAACGCCUUGUGUACAUGGGGGCGUCCUUGUGCACACGACGGAAUUGUGCACGCGCCUGAAUAGAUUUAUGCUGUGGCCCCAGAGCAUGACAGUUAAAAUCACCACAAACACUGUAACGACUUACAAAGCGUCGUGAACUUGAAUUGAAUUUUAGAUCUUCGAGUCUUCAAAACUUGAUUUUCUCAUCACAGACUCUUUAAGACCUUGACUCGACCGCUUAAGAAAUUAGCCAAUAUACAAAUUCGUAACAAGAUAAUCAUCCAAAGAUCUUUAAACUUUGUUAAUAUAUAUAUAUUAUCACGCAUAAGAAUAACUUAUGUAUUAAAAUAACUCUUUAUUACCAUAUCUCCCACGUACCGUGUAAUAUACUGAAUUUGGGCCUAUGAGUAAGUUCGAAGGUUGGAUUGGUUUUUGGAACUGGUCUACGACUUUUGACAGACCUUAGAAAGGUUUUGACAAGUUACUGAAGUAAGUAAGUAACUAGAAAUGGAAAAGUGCAUCGCAAAUGCAUUAUUGGUUGCAAUGCUCCGAAUUUGAUCAAUUGCGAAGUUUGAGUAUGAAGAAUGAUAUGUGGAUCUCUCCUAUAUACUCUAAAAGGUUUGGACAAGUUUUUAGACAAGUUAGAGAGUGAUUGGAUGGCUAAAAGCAAGAAAGUGCAUUGAACUGACGAAAUUCAGCCUUUUCUGCAUGGUGUACCGGUACAGCCAUCACCAUGUACCGGUACACAUUGGCAGAUACGUGGCAGCAAGGUUAUUUUUGUAAUUUCACAUUCUAAUCCUUAUCUAUCUGACCCAGCUCGACCCCUGGAGCAUCUUGGAAGGUAGUAGAGCUCAGAAAUUGGCUCUUCCACCUCCACUCUCUCUCUCUAGGAUUUUUCUCUCUCUAUAAGAAAUCGACGAUUUCGUUCGUUUUCGUCGCAACGCGUGUUCUUCACUGGAUGCGACUGUUGCGGAGCUUACGUGGACGUGUGAGGGAGUGUUUUGGAUUUUCGCAGCUCUAGACCAGUAGUUCACUGGUUGGAAGCUUGAGAAGGUAAUCGACUCAAUUUUUCCGUUAUCGACAUACUAUUAGUUGAAUUGAGUUUGGAUUGCGGGUUUUUGCUUCCAACUAUUUCAAACUAAGGUUUCAGCAAUUAAAGAUGAGUUAAUUAGCUGUGAAUUAACCUCUUAGACCAGAAAUAAGCUACUUUAAAGCUUGAGAGAGAUAUUUAAUUCACUAUGAAGCUAAUUCGGAACUAAACGCGAAUUGUUUGAGCGAACUAAUGCAGUUCGGAAUGUUCUUUUCGCAGCAGGUUUGCGAACCAAAUUGAGCUUAAUUUGGUGACCUUGGGGGCUGAUUUAGAAGUAUUCUAACUUGAGGUAAGCAGGAAUUUCAGUUAGGAAACUGAAAUCGUAAGAUUCCAACUAUAGUUAUUAAUAUUUGACGACUUUGAUGCCGUUUUGGAAAUUGUUCGCAGCGGGCUUGCGACGGACAUUCGGAUUAUCUCCGGCUGAUGCGUGAAGGAUUUUGGAAGCUUAAUUUGAGGUAUUAACUGAGCCAUAAUAGGGAUUUAAGCUAUUACUUUGUACUAAGUGCAAUUGCGCCGAAAUUGGACAUUUCGGUUGUAGUUUUAAUACGAUAUUCAUACUUUGUUUUCAGCAGGAGUGAGAUCUAGUGGAGCUAAUCCUUAGGAUUCCUUUGGGCUGAUUUGAGCUUAGUACUAGGUGGGUCUGACCUUUCCGAAAUGGGUAAAUUCCCUUUAUGUCUCCCUCUAUGUCUCCUUUGACAUCUGAGUUGAAGUUAUUAUAUUCAUGUGAAUAUAUGUAUAGUUCAAGGCAUUGAGACAUGCGUUAAUGUGUAGAUCAUAUUGGAUAUGAUAGCAUCUUUAAAUAGAAAUGGAAGACUUAGGUCUAUUCACUUUACAUAGCCAUUUGUUGGAUUACUAUGCAUGCAUGAUGAUAAUAGCUUGCAUAAACAAUUUCACUUGAUGUCACCCAAGUGGAUAUAAUGGUAAUAUCACGAGUGUACCAGUUAACUCGGUUGAACGACAAAGAAAUUGAUGUACUCAGGGUUGAGCUAUGCAAUGUUAUAUAGUAAGUAUAAUGGCUAAACUUUGAAUAAAUCAGGUAAAGGCAUCCAUUUGCAUAUACGUUCCAAGUUGUAAAAUGAAUGACAUAGAGAUCAUGUGAAGAGCAUUUUAUCAUUUAUCUUGCUUGUGUACAUUAUUCUGUUAGCUUCUACUUUCACAUGAUAGAUUCACAUUAUGGUAUAUGUUCUAGUAAGUAACUAAAAUUUCUUAUGAUGGCAUAACUUGAAUGAUUAUUCAAUUGAAUAGAAUCUAGUAAAUAACUAGAUUUGGAUAUGAUGACAUACUUGGAUGAUCAAGUAGAGGUUUAUAUUGGACUACAGGAUAUGUACCAUGAGUCUUUGAAUAUGAUAUUAGUAAACCACUUACCUUAUGUGUAAGGAGUAGUGAGGGAUUUGCGUGACUGACCAGGUAUAGCCUGAUAGAAUCACUAGUAUGAUGUAAAGUUUAAACUUGUCAAGUUAAACUAGCUAUUAAUAGAAUCAUGUCAACAAGUGUUGAUAGUGACUUAUGAUUGGGCACUACAGUAUCGACCUUGGGUCGAGUUGAGAUUCCAUGUUUGAGACAUGAUGUAGUUGGAAUAUUUGUGCCAUGGAUUACAGCUUGCAUGCCAUUACGCUCUUUCGUACACGCUUGCGGGGGUCGCGCCCCCCUAGCCCCGCACUCCGGAGUGGCUUGAGAUUUCAUGUUAGAGACAUGAUGUUGUUGUGGUAUUUGUACCUUGGACUACGGUUUACGCUUGCGGGGUCGCUCCUCCCCAAGCCAGCACUCCCGAGUAGCCUAGCGAUAGUUUCUCGCUCAUGUACGAAGUGAGCGCCGAAGUGGAUUGCCGUGGGGAGUGUACACUACCACGGGGCCAUUAGGCACGGCGCGGCUUGGAGCUUACCUUGUGUAAGUCUACUGAAAAUUGGGUUAUGACAAGUGCUUCAACCUUAGCUGGAUAUAGUAGUAAAGUAACUUUAUGUCUUUGGUCAGGUGAACUUAUUGAUGAACAAGCUAGACAGUUGACAUCUAAAGUAAGUUUAGUGAUGAAUAACCUAGAAGUUGAUAUCAUGAUUGGUUAGCAGCAUAUUGACAAUAUAUUUCAUUCUUGCUAAUGUAGAAGGCAAUUACAUGAUAUGAUCUGUAAUUUCAGUAAACAUAAGUUAUGAUGUAUGCAAUUUGGUGUAUGUUCGUUAAAUUAUUAAUCAAUGUGAAUGAUAAUAUCUUUCGUGUUAACUGAUACUUGUAAACUAUUGNUGAUAUGCAUUUAUUUACUGUUAAGUAAAUAGCAUGAGUAGCUACUUUCAUACUUAUUGCAUUUACUUGCUUAUUGCAUUACUUGCUUAUUUAUUGCUAUCUACUCGUGCCACAGUUGACCUAGUGGUGUACUUCGUCACACUUGGCGGCUUACCCACUGGGAACUAUUGUUUAAUAGUCCUCACGCUCUCUUUGUUGUUGUUUUUUUUUCAGAACCUUUCAUAGCGGGAAAGGCUAGGGUUCCUGGCGAGGGGUCAGCGGCUAGCUAGAGCCUUUUUGGACGUGUACUAGACAACCUCCUUCAAUUUAUGUAGUUUAGUACAGAGAUGUAUAUUAAGUUAUUGUAAAUUGUACUUUGUUCUUCUUUAUUGUAUUAAGAUUUUAGGAUUGUAUAAGUUUAAACUUUUAAGUCUGGCUCUGAUUACCUGCUUAGAAUCAUAUGCUUUUAUUAUAUUGAUUGUAGACGCCUGGUGUAUGCUUGAGUUGUGGUGUACACGGCGGGUCUGUGCACGCUACCGGAUAUGCUUCCGUUGGUACCCGGGCGUGACAUACCGUAGUCUAAGAAUUUUCAAAAUUUUCCAUAUUGCCCUAUAUCCAUGUCGUGUCAUAUUUAUAUCCUGUAUCCACAUCUAUAUAUCCUGUUUGGUUGGUUGUAUUUUAAUAACUUUUGUCACGCUCUUUCUGUUAAGCUGGCUUGGACUGGGGCCAAAUCUCCUUGUUAUCAUUAGUAUCUCAGUAGACAAUUUAAAGAUCCUGGGCUUCUCCCUGAAUGAUGUAGAAUGGCCAAACUGAAUAGAUUUUGUUAAGUAGGACAAAUUUAUGAUGUCGAGAUAUAUAUAUAGCUCAACAUAAUGAUGUUGUGGCAGCGUGAAGAGCAUCAUCCUAGAAGCUACUGCAAGAAAGAGAUCGUAACGCGUGUAUGGGCUUUAAAUAAGUGAGCUCUCAAAAAAUUUGUGCAACAUCUAAGGGAAUACAAAAAAUAUUUAUUUGAAAAUCAAAAAAGAAGAAGAUGAUCUAUUGGAGCUUGAAUUGAUCGAGAGAGAUUUUAUUAGAGCAUAUAGAAUUAUUUUGUUCUUACACAGUGAAAGAUGAGAAACCUCAGCCGCCUCCCGAAACAGAUGUCGGUAACUUAAAAAAGAUAUAUUGAAAGGUGUAUAAUAAACAACGCAACCACCGCACCCAAAAAUAGAUAUAAAUCUUACACCCUCAUCAUCUAACGGCCAAACUAUUCUCUCUAAUCUUAUCACCUCUAUUCUUUAAUACUAAAAAAUCGAAAAUGAUUGGUGUGAACCCUCAGACGAUGGGUGUAAGAUCGGCACCUAUAUAAAAAUUUGGAUGUACAUGUAGCAUUUUCCGUGUACAUUAGAGAAGCAAAGAAUUAGCUGAUGCUAUGCUUGGAAAGUGAAACAUUGGAUAUAUAAUGGGCAGAUGGGUGGCUGCUAGUUUACACGCGAAAGGAAAAGAUUAAUGUUUUAAAAAAUAUAAAAUAUGAGUAGUCUCAUAUGAAAUAAAAAUCAACAUGUUAAAAUAUUGGUGUGUAUAUGCUAGCCCAAACCUAGUUUAGGCUUAAAUUUUUGAGUUGGAUGGUUUAAUUUGCUUAGAAAUGUAAUUGGCACAGUCGUUACUAUUUUCCUUUUUCGAUGUUUUUCCCGGUACUACUUAAGCUAACUAGUAUAACUUAAUUACAGCUGGUUACCGAUUAAGCACAUGCUUUUAUACAUUAGUAAGAAGGCCGAAAAUUCCAUAAUUGUAGAGGGAAACAUUAACUAUAUAUAUGCUUCUCCGCUCGGCAGUUCUCAUUAUAAUUUUAUCGCGUCAGAAGGAAAAUAAAUUAAAAGUGCCUUUGGACUUUUUUGAACCUUGUAAAUUAAGUAUAAAAGCAUAUACUUAAUUUUAUAAACACAAUUCUUAUUAAACUGGGUCUUACUUACGGGCGCGUAUCCUAAAAUGUUGCCGAUAAUCGGUAAGGUACGGUAAUGAGUGCAUGUGCGCUACAACAGAAUUAGGUUAUAGGAACACAUGUUUUAGACACUUUUGAGUAAGUGUCCCAUUUAUACUAAAACUUAAAAACACAUCUACUAAUGCCUAAAUAUAAAGCCCAAUCCAACCAAAAAUAAAAGAUUACUCUACUCAACCCACCACACCCAGUCUAUUUGGCCCGAUUACAAACAGAAAAGAAAAAAAAAUUAAUUAUCAUCUUUUCUUCUCUCUUCACUCAAUCCACUGAAAUUCUAGACGAAAAGCCUUUACUGUCGUCCUCCUCCGCCACCGCAGCCAACGAGAUAGAGUUUCGGCGGUUGCUAAAUGCUUAAAUAAGUGUUGAAAAAUUAGCAGCACUCUUUUAGGUUAUAGCGACAUUCUUUAACUGUCACUAUAUACCUAGCGACCCUACAUAUAUCAACACUUUUUAAAAGUGUCAGUAAUUUUAGCUAGCAGCACUUUCUUGACAUGUACUUACAUUUAAAAGUGUCGCUAUAGACCGUUUUUGUUGUAGUGUGUGCACGCUCCACGGCCACAAGAUUUACAACAAAAUGAUCGGAUGAUAAGAUGCUGUACACAUGCUAAUUUGUGUUGCUGAGGAAUUGAAGAAAAUUCGCCAGUUUAAUUGUAGCCCGGGCAAAUAGAAGUGGGCCUGGUAUUUCUUAUAUAUUAUUAAUUCUUCUGCUUCACCUGAACCCUCCAUCAGAAAUUAUCCGAAGCGAACGGUGGAGGAAACAGGAGCGAUGUGUGCAUGCUCAGGGCCUCAAGAAUUAAAGCGAGGUGAUCGAGGUUAGUUUUUAGAUGUCGACGUUAGUUUGUUGCCUUGUACGUGAGUACGUACGUCGUGUAUGUAUAAUUAAUUUGGAUCAUUAUUAGUUCUUAAUUAGGAUAGGGUGUUGGGUGCGAAACUACCUGGAUCCAAAUACAGUGUGAACUCUUUGGAUUGAGAUGUAGAAGACUCUUUAAUUGGAGGGUUGCUACUAAUUAAAUUGAGUUGGUUAAUUUCAAGCCCCAGUCAAUUUUUCCUUUUUUCUUUUUCUUGCUUAAAAAAAAAUAAAAAAUCUGUUUGAAGUCGACUCCGAUGCUGAAGAACUGUUACUAUCCAAGCCCGCCCAAAUAUAAACUCAUAAUAAGGAGGCUAUAUAUAGUGCGCCCCCCAACCUCAUGGUCGGCGUCCGGAUACCGAAUUACUAGCUAGGCUAGCUACUCAAUAUAUCCCUUGUUUGGGCUUAAAUUACUUCUGAUAUCAAACACAAUCCAAAUUAAGAUGGCUUAAACGUCGUAAAAACCCAAACCCAAACCACCUUGGCUCUUGCCACCAUUAAUUACCUUAAUCGAACUUUUGUGGAAAUUUUACUAGCCUCUUGUUUGAAGUGAACUAAAUAAUUAAAUUGACUCAUUCUGUCAUUGGAUCGAUCAACAUUGCAUUUGCUUACAGAUUGAUUCUAUUUCUUCUUUUCAGGCGAGAAAGGUAUAUAUAUGUUGUUAUAAUAAUAAAGCUAAUUUACAUACUCUGAAAAGUUGAAGAUCUUGUCAGAUGGUAAACUCUAAUUAAUAUAAUUCAUGCUUUUGGUGCAUGCGCAGGAUUCAAGAAAUUCUGACCUUGCAUCCUGUCAAUAGUUCUUAAUUAAUUAACAGAUCGAUGACCGAUGGUGAAACCAACCAUUAAUUAUGAUGUAUCUUAUUAUUACAUUACAACAGAAUUAGAUUAUAGCGACACAUGUUUGGAACACUUUUGUAUAAGUGUCAUAUUUAUGUCAAAACUUAAAAAAAAUCCUACUAAUGCCUAAAUAUAAAGUCCAAUCCAAUUAAAAAUAAAAGGGUACUCUACUCAACCCACUCUACUUAGCCCAUUCGACCCGAUUACAAAAAGAGAAGAAAAAGAAAAGAAAAAUCGAUUAUCAUUUUCCUUUUUCCCCUCACUCAAUUGACUGAAAUCCUAGACGAAGAUCAUUUCCUCUCGUUCUCCUCCACCACCGCAGCCAACGAGGUAGAGUUCCAGCGGUUGUUAGAUGCUUAAAUAAAUGUUGGUAAAUUAGCAGCACUCUUUUAGAUUAUACCAACACUCUUUAACUGUCACUAUAUAUCUAGCGACCCCACAUAUAACAACACUUUUCAAAAGUGUCGGUAAAUUUAGCCAGCAGCACUUUUUUGACCUAUACCGAUAUUUAAAAGUGUCGCUAUAGACCGUUUUUGUUAUAGUGUUAAUGGCAAUUGAUAUUAUACCAUUGUCAAAGCAUUUAAAUUUUAAUAUAUAAUUAAUCAUAAUUUGAACUUUUUGCUUGGGCAAUAGUAUAUAGAAGAAUUGAUAUAUAAUAUACUUUUUAAUAGUUUGAUGCUGCUUUGACAUUCCUAGGACACAUAUAUAGUUUGCUAGGAUCGUUGAGCCUCGAUCAGUUACAUUAUCAAUGCUCUAACUAAUUAAUCCAAAAAACCUGUACUAAGGCAGGUUAAUGAUUAUCGAUCUGAAAAUCAACUAUAUAUUUCCAAAAAUGGAAGUCUCAACUCUCAAGGAGGGGUUAGCUAUAGCAAAGUCUCAAGGUGUAAUGGGCACCUGUGAUCAGUUUAAGGAUGGGGUCCUCUUCGAUCUGCUCUGACCCAUGGUUCUUGGUUGGUCUCUCUAGAUCUCUCUCUCUCUCUCUCUCUCCCUAGAUCUCUCUCUCUCUCUCUCUCUCUCUCUCAAAGAAGUCACAUGGUGCAUAUACAUACCAAAGUUGCAGACGAGAGUUGUCUAGCUCUAUAUAUUUCUUGGGAUCUAUCCAUAUGAAGAACCCAUGCAUGACACUUCCAAAAACCAUCCAACAAAGGGAUAAGGCAUGCCCGGUCAGAAGAAGAUCUGUGUCCUAGCUACUGGUAAAUAGGAUGACAAGUGAUCACCUGAGUUCACAGGAGUACUGUUUACGCUUCCACAAUAUUUCAAAACUACAUGUAGAAUAAUAAUAAAUAAUUAAAAGCAAGAGUGGGUAAAGGGUCAACCAAUGCUUUCAAAAAAGCAUGAUUAUCUUCCCUUUCAUUUUAUUUUCAUUUGUAGAGAAUCUAUGUUAACGAUACGCUAUCAGAGCAAUCAAAAUACUAGAACUGCAUUAGCACUAUCUAAUUAAUAUCUAAAUUUUUAAUGGUAGGGUAUCUAAAAAUAGGCCGGGUUAAUUUCAUAUAUAUUGGUCCCCGCAAAUAUAUUGCAAAAGUCCUGAUGUUUUCAAAUAUGUCUUUGCCAUUAGAAUCCGUUAGAAAAAUUUAAUUAACCAUAGGUUAAAUACUUAACUCUGGUUAGUUUUUUAACCAUUUCGAUCGCUAACUAGGUAAAUAAUAUCAAAAAAUUGUAAAAUUUAUUUUUUAGACACUUCAAAUACGCUAGAUCAAGUCUAAUGGAGCCGAUUGUCGAUUUGAAAGCUACAUCAUCAAAAGCGGCUUAGAAGCGCACCAAGGCCUCCGUGAUCUUAAUAGCACGCAAGACCUACUCUCUCUCUCUCUCUCUCUCUCUCUAUAUAUAUAUAUAUAGAAUCCGGCUACUAUGCUAUUAAUAGCACGAAGCACUUGACUUGGUGCUAUUAAUAGUAUAGUAACCUAGUUCUAUAUAUAUAUAUAUAUAUAUUAUAAUAUUAAUAUAUAUAUAAUUAUAAGUAUAUAACAGAAGAGAAGAGUAGAGAGGAGGCUACUAUGCUAUCCGGAAGCACGGAAGCCUCCGGCUUCCCAGCUCGUUUUCGAAAUGUUGCGACUUUCGAUUUCGAAAUCGUGCGAUCGACUCCGUAAACUUGAUCUAGCGAGUAUUUGAAAUACCUAGAGAAAUAAAUUAUGAUUUACGAAUAUCAUUUGCUCUAUGCAACGAAGGGACUCGCGAAAACAACGUGUUACAAAUAAAAAUGUACAAAAUUAAAAUAUGACAUUAAAAUUUAAAUCAAAGAUAUUGAUUACUUGUUUAUAAGUAUAAAGAAUUUCUAUCCAAAAUUCACGGUGAUUUGAUACGACGCCGUUAAACUUGCAAACGGCUCACUACGGCCAUUGAAAUUUGUUGAUUUUGAGCCCAUUCGAUCACUAGGCAAAUGGUAUCAAAAAAUAAUAAAAUUUAUUUUCUAUGUACUCCAAAUACUCUAGAUCAAGUUUAACGGAGCCGAUCGACGAUUCGAAAGUCGCAACAUCGAAAACGAGCUGGAAGCACGGAAGGCUCCGUGCUUCCGAUAGCAUAGUAGCCUCACUCUAUAUAUAUAUAUAUUUUUAUAUAUUUUGGGGAUGCAUGUUGAGAGAUUCUCAAAAUCAAAUUAGGCUAAUUUGUGUUGGAUUAUGUAAGUCACAUGCAUCCUGAGUUGAUGUCGGCAAAAAGUUGAAGAAAUUAAACUUGUUUCCGGAUGUCGGGUUCCAGAACCAAUGUUUUGGCUCCGGAAACCCAAGGCCUGCUCUGGAGCACUAUGAAGGAGUUCCGUAAAACCCAAACCAAGGUCUCUAGGUUGAGGCUUAUGCUUCGAAACUAGGUGCCCAGUUCUGGAGCUAAACAUUUUGCUAAAUUUCCAGUUCCAUAUAUAUCUCAUGUAUUAGUUCCGAAAUUCCAAGGCUUGACGAGUUUUUAAAAUGGACACUACUCCAAACUUUAUUUAAACUCAUUCUUUUAGAUUAGGGAUGGUUGAGAAGUAUAUCCUUAGGAGAGUAUCUCAAUGGAGAUCGAUGACUAGAAGUGAAUCAGGGACUUAGAUGAAUGGCAGAGAACGUUUCCUACUAGAAUUUUUUUAGGGUUUUAAACCCUCUUGUAAUCUUUCUUUUUUGUAUGAGCUUCACCCUAAUAAGAGAGAAAGGAAAAUAUAUAUGGGAGAAAGCUUUGAGAGAGGUUCUUACAUAUAAUCUAAUCAACUCUUUAUAUUGUUGUAUUAUGAAUUAAUCGAAAAACACAUUUAGGAGGUCUUACCUGUGGACAUAGAUAAACACACCGUUGGCCGAACCACAUAAAUUCUUGUGUUCUUGUAUCUCUAUUUUGUAUUGCUUUGUUCAUACUCAUGCUUGUUUUCCCGAUCUACACCAUACGAAAACUAUCAUCAUAUAAUUAUAUUAACUAUAUCUCGUCAUUCUUUCGAUCUCAUCUAUUUUUAUUUACAUAAGAUCUAAUUUUCGUGCGCUCAUAUGUUGUGAUAACUUAAGGUGUGCUCUGUACGUAAUCGAUUUUCAUUUACAUAAGAUCUGAUUUUCGUGACCUCAUAUGCUGUGAGGGUUUAAGGUGUGUUCUAUAAGCGCUCGGCCUGUUCUAUCACUUUGGUCAUGCUUCGGAACCUCUUACAUAAAAUAUUAUAUCAAUUUUUACUAUUCACUUUAUCCGAAACUUUUUGACGUGUAGGAUUUCAGGCUUGGUUCAAGUUGACAUGUCAAACCGUUGUUUAUAAAAGAAUUAGAAAUCCUAGUUCAAGUUGAUAUGUCAAGCCAUUGUUUAUAAAAGAAUUGGGUUAAUUACACCAAUGGUCCCUAACCUUUACACUGUUUUUCAAUUUGGUCCCCCAACUAUUUUUUUUUUUUUGCAAUCAAAUUUCUAAUCUUUUGAUUUCAUUUCAAUUAAGUCCCAGCCGUUAGGUAGCUGUUAAAAUUGACGGAAAAUGCCACGUCAGCGCCAUGGAGAUGCCAUGUCAGCGCCACAGUGGCGCUAUGUCAGCGGAUUGCAAAAAAAAAAGGGUUGGGAACUAAAUUAAAAAAUGGUGCAAAGGUUGAGGACCAAUGGUGUAAUUAAUCCAUUAAAUUUAUAAAUUAAAAAAAAAUUAAUUUAAGAUUUAAAUUUUAAAUUUUAAUUUUAAUUUUGAAUUCAAAUUUAAAUUGAAAUUCAAAUUCCAAUUUUGUAUUUAAUGCGAUUAUUGCAAGCAAGUCACAUAGCAGUGCCUAUUGGGCUUUUUUAUAAAAUGACCCUCCAAAAUUUUGAAAUUUGGAAAAUAAUCCUGUCAAAAUUUUAUUUGGAAAAGUAACCCUUCUUUCGCCACGUGGGCGCCACGUCGGAAUUUUGCUAUGAAGGCGGUGAAUGAUUCACCGCUUCCACAUAUAUAUUCAUCGACUUCAUUAUAUAUAUGUGAAAGCGGUGAAUUAUUCACCGCUUUUAGUGCAAAACACUCCAAAUUAAUCGAAAUUUGUCUAAGUUCUGAAGUGGAACACAGAUAAGACGGUGAAUGAUUCAUUGUCUUUACAUAUAUUUUAUUAAGACGGUGAAUUAUUCACCACCUUCAUUAUAUAUAUGUGAAGGCGGUGAAUCAUUCGCCGUCUUUAUAACAAAAUUCCGACGUGGUGCCCACAUGGCGAAAGGAUGGUUACUUUUCCAAAUAAAAUUUUCACAUAAUUAUUUUACCAAUUUCGAAUUUUUGGAUGGUCAUUUUAUAAAAAAGCCCGUGCCUAUUGUGUAUUUUAAAUCAAACUGGAGAAUUUUGAUCAAUCACCUCAUUAAAUUUGGUAAAAUCACCAAUGAAUUUUGUAGAAUCACCAAAAUUUUUGACUAAAAUAAAUUCAUUCCAAAAAAUUAGAAGUUGAGGGUUAUCCAAAAAAAAAAAAAAAAAAAAAAACGAAAGUUGAGAGGCAAUUUCAGAUGGUCUAUAGUAGAAGGAUUUCUACACAUUUUUCCAAUUCAAAAAAAAAAACAAAACAAACUGUAUAACUUUCGUUUCAAUUAGCCCUUAUAACUCUAAUGCCAUCAGUUUCCUUAAUAUCUUGUAUUAUGUGAAAUCCAAAAAUCAAAUACACUUUAUGUGGCAUUUGUUCACGUUCUUUAAUAUUUCUGACAAUCUAACAGAAGUAUAUAUAUUAUAUAUAUAUAUUAAUAUAUAUAUAUAAUAUAUAUAUAUAUAUAAUAUAUAUAUAUAUAAUAUUAAUAUAUUAUAUAUAUAUAUAGGAGUUGGACUUGGCUACUAUUAAUAGUAAAAUCCCAUUAUUACUACAGUUUUAGCCUUGAUCAACUCUUUUCUUAUUUCUAACCAUUGAUUAAAAUACUAUAACCUAGUGGGGACCACUCAACCCUAACGACUAUAUCGUCCUGACCCUGACAAUUUUUCAUCCAAGAGUUAAAAACUUGAUAGCAAAAAGAGCGUUUACUAUUAAUAGUAUUCCAGCCAAUUAUAUAUAUUAUAAUAUAUAUAUUAUAUAUAUAUAUAUAUAUAUAAUUAUAUAUAUAUAUAUAUAUAUAUGAGUUGAGCUUAGAAAUAUUCGGUAGCAAACGGCUCCGUUGCCACCCAUUUUUUUUUCGAUGAUGGAGCCUCCAAAUCGAUGUCGCACCGUUAAACAUGAUCUAUACCACUUGAAGUGUUUAGAAAAUCAAAUUAUCAUACAUUUCCGAUAUUGGUCUUUAUAAUGAGUGGACCACAAAAUGAACGGCUGAAAAUGAAUAUUUUUUAAUGAUGAUAGGAUCUUGUAUCAAGACCAAGAGUAUAAAUUUUUAUUAAAUAGUUUAAAGAAUUUCUAACAAAAAUUCAAUUGAUUUGAAUAUCUUUAGCCGUUAAACGAGAAAAGCCUCAUAUCCGCCUUAAAACUAUAAAUUUUGAAACCUCUUAAUUAUUAGGCAAAUGAUGUUGAAAAGAUUUGAAAUUUGUUUCUAAACACUUCAAGUGUAUAGAUCAUAUUUAACGGUUGCGAUCGCGAUUGGAGCUCUAUCAUCGAAAACAAAUGGUGGCAACGGAACCGUUGCUACGAUAGUAUUCUGACUCAUCUCUCUCUCUCUCUCUAUCUCUCUCUAUAAUAUAUAUACAUAUAUAUAUAUAGAGUCCAGCUACUAUACUAUUGAUAGUAAUCAAGCCCUUGGUACUAUUGAGUUUUCUACGGUUAGAUCUACCCUUUGAUCAUUUCUACCGUUAGAUCUACCCUUUGAUCAUUUUCACCCGUAUAGAUUAUACUAUUCAACCACUAAUCACUCAAUCUAGGGACUACUAUCAUCCUAACCGCAUAUCCUUUCAUCCAACGACCGAAAACUCAAUAGUACCACAGGGCUUGGUACUAUUGAUAGUAUAUGUAGCAUAUCUAUAUAUAUAUAUAAAUAUAUAAUAUAUAAUUAGAGAGAGAGAGAGAAGAGGAGAGAGAGAGAGAGAGACAGAGAGAGAGUUGGACUGGGCUACUAUUAGUAGCAAAUUCUAUUGUUGCUACCAGUUUUUUAGCCUUUGGAUCAAUUCUUUUCAUUAUUUCUAACCAUUGGAUUAAAUACUAUAACCCAGUGGGGACCACUCAACCCUAGGAGGACCACUCAAUUCUAACUGACUAAUAUCAUCCUGACCCUACAAUUUUUCAUCCAAGGGUUAAAAACUUGAUAGCAAAAAGAGCAUUUUACUAUUAAUAGUAUUCCAGUCUAAUUCUAUAUAUAUAUAUAUAGCAAUUAAUACACAAAGUAAUUUGAUCGGUAAUGUUAAAUUCAUUUGGGAAUGAGAUUCACCUAAAAUAAUAAUCCUCAUACUUUUGAAGGAUGGUGGGUAUUCUUGUAUUUAUAAACUGGGAUAGUCAUAAUUAAAAUUUCUAAUCUGACCCAUCUUUUUCUCCUUCCUCACCUCCAUCACCUACUAUUCCCCUUUACUCUGUAAUCUCAUCUCUCUCUCCGCAAACUCAUCUCUCUCUCUCUCUAAACCUAAACUCUCUCUUUUCCUAUAUAAUCUCAUCUCUCUCUCUCUCCAUAUUUCUCUAAUUAUUCUCUCUCUUAUCUAUGCUUUCUGUUGCUGUCCUCUAUCUCUAUUCUCAAGUAUCU
rnacentral:lncRNA from 1 species